CGGGGGGGCGUGCCUUAAUACAUGCAAGUCGAACGAACUCUGGUAUUGAUUGGUGCUUGCAUCAUGAUUUACAUUUGAGUGAGUGGCGAACUGGUGAGUAACACGUGGGAAACCUGCCCAGAAGCGGGGGAUAACACCUGGAAACAGAUGCUAAUACCGCAUAACAACUUGGACCGCAUGGUCCGAGUUUGAAAGAUGGCUUCGGCUAUCACUUUUGGAUGGUCCCGCGGCGUAUUAGCUAGAUGGUGGGGUAACGGCUCACCAUGGCAAUGAUACGUAGCCGACCUGAGAGGGUAAUCGGCCACAUUGGGACUGAGACACGGCCCAAACUCCUACGGGAGGCAGCAGUAGGGAAUCUUCCACAAUGGACGAAAGUCUGAUGGAGCAACGCCGCGUGAGUGAAGAAGGGUUUCGGCUCGUAAAACUCUGUUGUUAAAGAAGAACAUAUCUGAGAGUAACUGUUCAGGUAUUGACGGUAUUUAACCAGAAAGCCACGGCUAACUACGUGCCAGCAGCCGCGGUAAUACGUAGGUGGCAAGCGUUGUCCGGAUUUAUUGGGCGUAAAGCGAGCGCAGGCGGUUUUUUAAGUCUGAUGUGAAAGCCUUCGGCUCAACCGAAGAAGUGCAUCGGAAACUGGGAAACUUGAGUGCAGAAGAGGACAGUGGAACUCCAUGUGUAGCGGUGAAAUGCGUAGAUAUAUGGAAGAACACCAGUGGCGAAGGCGGCUGUCUGGUCUGUAACUGACGCUGAGGCUCGAAAGUAUGGGUAGCAAACAGGAUUAGAUACCCUGGUAGUCCAUACCGUAAACGAUGAAUGCUAAGUGUUGGAGGGUUUCCGCCCUUCAGUGCUGCAGCUAACGCAUUAAGCAUUCCGCCUGGGGAGUACGGCCGCAAGGCUGAAACUCAAAGGAAUUGACGGGGGCCCGCACAAGCGGUGGAGCAUGUGGUUUAAUUCGAAGCUACGCGAAGAACCUUACCAGGUCUUGACAUACUAUGCAAAUCUAAGAGAUUAGACGUUCCCUUCGGGGACAUGGAUACAGGUGGUGCAUGGUUGUCGUCAGCUCGUGUCGUGAGAUGUUGGGUUAAGUCCCGCAACGAGCGCAACCCUUAUUAUCAGUUGCCAGCAUUAAGUUGGGCACUCUGGUGAGACUGCCGGUGACAAACCGGAGGAAGGUGGGGAUGACGUCAAAUCAUCAUGCCCCUUAUGACCUGGGCUACACACGUGCUACAAUGGAUGGUACAACGAGUUGCGAACUCGCGAGAGUAAGCUAAUCUCUUAAAGCCAUUCUCAGUUCGGAUUGUAGGCUGCAACUCGCCUACAUGAAGUCGGAAUCGCUAGUAAUCGCGGAUCAGCAUGCCGCGGUGAAUACGUUCCCGGGCCUUGUACACACCGCCCGUCACACCAUGAGAGUUUGUAACACCCAAAGUCGGUGGGGUAACCUUUUAGGUACCCCACCCCAGCCAU
rnacentral:rRNA from 1 species